AUAAUAUGCUAUGUGGUCUAUUAGUGUGAAAGGUGAUAAAAUAUCUUACUUUCAAAAAAAUCUUUCAAUGUUUAGGAUGGCAACAUAGAAAUUUGAAUUUUCUGAGAAUCAAUUCGCAAUGACAUUUGAUUCAAUAUUGAAAAUUAAAUUAUAAGUCAAAUCUUUUGUCCUUGCCUGAGAUUUGCAAGCCUCAUCUUGAUCUAUGUGACAGACUAUGAAUGAUGGGGUCACUGUCCUAAUUGGUGGAUGUGAUUCUUUUAGGAACAUCAUUCCCUUACUCAACCAUUUUUCUUGUGUAGCUAACAAAGACAAACAAGGCACAGGAAAAGACAGUUACAACACAUGAUCCACAUGUAGAAAAUACUCAUUACCCACGAAAGACAUAUUUAAAAGAAAAUCCAGUUUAACCAAGGGAAAGUAGUCCUUUUUCUCCCUCCCUCCCUUAAAAAGUCAUUGAACAUAAUACAACAAGGAAGUACAUGAAGGUUCUGAAAGUUGGAGAGACGGCAGAUUGACUAGGCAGAGUUACAGAGAGGCAAAGAACUGGGGUGUUCUUCCAUCUGCUGGUUCACUCCCCAGAUGGAGUGAACUGUGCUGAUCUGAAGCCAGGAGCCGGGAGCUUCUUCCAUGUCUUCCACAUGGGUGUAGGUGACCAAGGACUUGGGCCAUCCUCUACUGCUUUUCCAGGUCAUAGCAGAGAGCUGGAUUGGAAAUGGAGCAGCAGGGUCUCAAACUGGUGCCCAUAAAGCGGGCACCACAGGUGGCAGCUUUACCCGCUAUGCUAAGCACCAGGCUCUCAUCUCUGUUUCACAACUGUCUCCCAGUGCCUGGGCUGUGGCAGGGUAGGCUAAGCCUCUGCCUGGGGCACCAGCACCUCAUUUGGGAGCCAGUUUGUGCCCUGGCGGCUCCUCUUCUGAUCCGGCUCUCUGCUGUAGCCUGGGAAAGCAGUAGAAGAUGGCCCAAGUGUUUAGGCCCCUGGGACCACAUGGGAGACCCUGAAGAAGCUCCUGGCUUCUGGCUUCGGAUAGGCCCAGCUCCAGCCCUCACGGCCAUUUGGGGAAUGAACCAUUGGAUGGAAAACCUCGCUCUCUGCGAGUGUAGUAAUGGCACCGAGGUGGUGUUGGUUCCAAUAAGGAUUUUAUUAUGUGGUGGGGAAGUCACACAUUCUAAUCAGCACAGCACACUGGGCAAACCCACCACCCAAGCUUCCGGAAGUACCUCAGGAGCUCCUCACCACGGUUCCUCGCCACAGAGGGGGGAUUCUCCCAACAGCCACAAGGGGGCGCCUCUGAGCCAAAUACGCAGGUCUCCAAGAGCCUGUUGGGUUCCGGUGAGCAGGACCUCAGCGUCAGGCGAGUUCAGAGCUUCAGGACCCGCGAGCGGGCUCAUCUCCGGUGGGGCUCACAGCCCCAGUGUCAGGUGCAUGGGUAUAUGUGGAUUUUCUUUCUAGUGCUAACGAAAAAGAAAACAGAACAGGAGGUGUGAAGGAGCAUUUAUACCGGCUUGUGAGUUUGUAUCACUGCAAGUAAAAACAAAAGGUAAUUGUAACAAACGUUAUAAAGUAUACCCUACUUUAUUAUAAUAAUAUUUUAGAUGAUUCACCAUUGUUUAAAGUAUAAAUAAUAUUCUUUAUGUUCUCAAAGUCUUUUGUUAGAGUUCAGAUUUUCUUUUAAAAUUAUAAUUGAUCUUUAAUUUAAUAGCAAUGGCUUAUUUUUAUUAGGUACUUGUAAGCAUAAAAAUACAUUAAAUCAAUACUUACAAAAUAAAUAUGGCUUGAAAUUUUAUUAGGUACA
rnacentral:lncRNA from 1 species